CUUUAACACUGAGGCGUGAUGACGAGGCACUACGGUGCUGAAGCAACAAAUGCCCUGCUUCCAGGAAAAGCCUCUAAGCAUCAGGUAACAUCAAAUCGUACCCCAAACCGACACAGGUGGUCAGGUAGAGAAUACCAAGGCGCUUGAGAGAACUCGGGUGAAGGAACUAGGCAAAAUGGUGCCGUAACUUCGGGAGAAGGCACGCUGACACGUAGGUGAAGUGAUUUACUCAUGGAGCUGAAGUCAGUCGAAGAUACCAGCUGGCUGCAACUGUUUAUUAAAAACACAGCACUGUGCAAACACGAAAGUGGACGUAUACGGUGUGACGCCUGCCCGGUGCCGGAAGGUUAAUUGAUGGGGUCAGCGCAAGCGAAGCUCCUGAUCGAAGCCCCGGUAAACGGCGGCCGUAACUAUAACGGUCCUAAGGUAGCGAAAUUCCUUGUCGGGUAAGUUCCGACCUGCACGAAUGGCGUAAUGAUGGCCAGGCUGUCUCCACCCGAGACUCAGUGAAAUUGAACUCGCUGUGAAGAUGCAGUGUACCCGCGGCAAGACGGAAAGACCCCGUGAACCUUUACUAUAGCUUGACACUGAACAUUGAGCCUUGAUGUGUAGGAUAGGUGGGAGGCUUUGAAGUGUGGACGCCAGUCUGCAUGGAGCCGACCUUGAAAUACCACCCUUUAAUGUUUGAUGUUCUAACGUGGACCCGUGAUCCGGGUUGCGGACAGUGUCUGGUGGGUAGUUUGACUGGGGCGGUCUCCUCCUAAAGAGUAACGGAGGAGCACGAAGGUUGGCUAAUCCUGGUCGGACAUCAGGAGGUUAGUGCAAUGGCAUAAGCCAGCUUGACUGCGAGCGUGACGGCGCGAGCAGGUGCGAAAGCAGGUCAUAGUGAUCCGGUGGUUCUGAAUGGAAGGGCCAUCGCUCAACGGAUAAAAGGUACUCCGGGGAUAACAGGCUGAUACCGCCCAAGAGUUCAUAUCGACGGCGGUGUUUGGCACCUCGAUGUCGGCUCAUCACAUCCUGGGGCUGAAGUAGGUCCCAAGGGUAUGGCUGUUCGCCAUUUAAAGUGGUACGCGAGCUGGGUUUAGAACGUCGUGAGACAGUUCGGUCCCUAUCUGCCGUGGGCGCUGGAGAACUGAGGGGGGCUGCUCCUAGUACGAGAGGACCGGAGUGGACGCAUCACUGGUGUUCGGGUUGUCAUGCCAAUGGCACUGCCCGGUAGCUAAAUGCGGAAGAGAUAAGUGCUGAAAGCAUCUAAGCACGAAACUUGCCCCGAGAUGAGUUCUCCCUGAGACUUUAGGUCUCCUGAAGGAACGUUGAAGACGACGACGUUGAUAGGCCGGGUGUGUAAGCGCAGCGAUGCGUUGAGCUAACCGGUACUAAUGAACCGUGAGGCUUAACCUU
rnacentral:rRNA from 1 species